ACGCUCGACACCUACGUGAGGCAGCAGUGGGGAAUAUUGCACAAUGGGGGAAACCCUGAUGCAGCGACGCCGCGUGGAGGAAGAAGGUCUUCGGAUUGUAAACUCCUGUUGUUGGGGAAAAAGAGGAUGGUACCCAACAAGGAAGUGACGGCUAACUACGUGCCAGCACGCCGGACGGUAAUCUGAGGCGGGCUGGACAAGGC
rnacentral:rRNA from 1 species